UGACCGGUUCAUGGGUUUAGGGUUAAAAUUUUUUCCUUCCACUGGACUGCUGCUCUCACUCUCAACCUCUCACCCCUUCCACUGGACUGUCGUUGCUGCCCUCUCUCGCCGCUUCUGCUGGACCGCCGUUGCUGUGCUCUCUCACCGCUUCCGCUGGACCGCCGUCUGCUCUCUCUCUUUCGCUAGAUUGCUGCUCUCGCCGCUUCCGCUGGAGUCUGGACCACCGUUGCUGUCCUCGCUCGCCGUUUGCUUUCUCUCUUUCGCUGGACUGCUACUCUUGCCGCUUCUGUUGGACCACCAUUGCUGCCCUCUCUCGCUACUGCUGCCUUAGACGCUGCGACGCACCUGCUCCCUUCAUGCUAGGAACCAAAAUCGUGCUUCUUGCUACCUUUCCCCUUCUCUCGCUGCUGCUGCCUCACAGCCUCAGAAGCGUCCCUCUCGCUCUUGCUGGACUCAUGCUCCCGCCUUCACCGCUUCACGCCAGAAAUCACUACUGCUGCCUUCUCUUGCCGUUGUUGCCUCAGACGCCAUCAACGCUUUCAUUUCAUAUCCAAGGCAGCAACGUCUUCUCUGCUUGAUCAAAGUGAAUGCUAAACCAACGAUAGGAAGGGGGAGAGAGAGAGAAGGCAUAUGGGUUUCAGCUGGCGUGUGCCGCCAGUGGCUUGGCUGGUAGACAGAUGUGGCAUGAGAAGGGGACUGCAUCUUUUGUCAACCCAAAACAUUAAACCUCUAAAGACAAGAUAACAGGUUGGGUUUGAUGGGUGGCUGGACCAUUUCUCAGAAACUAGGAACGAUAUAAAGGUACUGCUGAAGAUGAGAUUGCAUGACAUGAUUCAACAUCAAUUCCAACAUAUUAUGCAGUAACAACCUGUCAAAAUAUUAGAUGAUGAUGAUGAUGAAUAUGAAGAAGGCAAUGGAGGGAACCGACUCCUGGGGUUUAUGUUUGGAAAUGUUGAUGGUUUCGGUGAUCUUGAUGUGGACUAUCUUGAUGAAGCAAAUAACUUCAUCUUAUAUUUUGAUCUACUUGUGUAUAUGCUAGAGCCUAGAAGUUUUUCUAAAGCUUGAUGGAAUGAUUAGUGCUACGGUAACAAUAUGAAGAACUUUUACACUAGUCCUGCUAUUUGUCAAUUGCCUUGUAGGCUUAGGUUUCCACGCUUGUAGUUCUUAAGACCAUUAGAGUUUUAUGGUCAUUGUUUGGAAGAUAAGACUGCUGCCAAUACUAAUUCUAGAACAUGGACAUUGAAA